rnacentral:rRNA from 1 species
AAUAUUGGACAAUGGGCGCAAGCCUGAUCCAGCCAUGCCGCGUGAGUGAUGAAGGUCUUCGGAUUGUAAAACUCUUUCGCCGGGGAAGAUAAUGACGGUACCCGGAGCAGAAGCUCCGGCUAACUUCGUGCCAGCAGCCGCGGUAAUACGAAGGGAGCUAGCGUUGUUCGGAAUUACUGGGCGUAAAGCGCACGUAGGCGGAUUUUUAAGUCAGGGGUGAAAUCCCAAGGCUCAACCUUGGAACUGCCUUUGAUACUGGAAGUCUCGAGAUCGGGAGAGGUGAGUGGAAUUCCUAGUGUAGAGGUGAAAUUCGUAGAUAUUAGGAAGAACACCAGUGGCGAAGGCGGCUCACUGGCCCGAUACUGACGCUGAGGUGCGAAAGCGUGGGGAGCAAACAGG